rnacentral:rRNA from 1 species
CAUUGACCACUUACACAAACAAUCCGCCAGGGAACUACGAGCCUCAGCUUAAAACCCAAAGGACUUGGCGGUGCCCCAAACCCACCUAGAGGAGCCUGUUCUAUAAUCGAUAACCCCCGCUUAACCUCACCCCUUCUUGCCAAAACCGCCUAUAUACCACCGUCGCCAGCCCACCCCGUGAGGGAAACGCAGUAGGCAAAAUGGCCCCCGCCAGAACGUCAGGUCAAGGUGUAGCGUAUGAAGUGGGAAGAAAUGGGCUACAUUUUCUGAUUCAGAAUAAACGGAAGGUCACUAUGAAACCUGACCCAAAGGAGGAUUUAGUAGUAAAAAGAAACAAGAGAGUUCUCUUUAACUCGGCCCUGGGGCGCGCA